UAAAAAAAAAAAAGAAAAGAAAAGAAGAAAAGAAAAUCCUGAGCCUUGUAAUAAAAAAGUGCAGAGUGGCAGGGUGGCUGUACAAUGAUGUAAAAUGAGGACGACAGUAAAACCCUCCUGCACUCAAAAUACCUCCUCUACGUUCAUAUUUCUAUAUCUGAAAUUGUACUGUGUGCUUCCUAUCAUUUAAGAAUUCCACUCUCCCAUGGGUUCCCAUUUAAAAAUUCUAGAUUCAUAUCCAGCUCUCGUGUUAGCUGUUCUAAAUUGUUGUCUCUCUCAGGUGCUUUGGGAAACACAGGGGUGAGAACAACUGUUUCCUGAGUCAGAGAAAACCUCCCAGAAGGGAUGACAAGUGUGCUGGGAUUUAAAAGAUAAAUAGGAGCUAGCCAGACAGAGAGAUGGUGGGAAGUCACCCCCCUCCAUGAGCAAGGACAGCAUAUUCAAAGGUGAGUGGCUGGGAGUUGUAUGGCAACUUUGGGGAGCCAACUGUAUUUUGUUGCAGGAGUUGAAAGGAGUUCAGUGUGUAGGGUGGGUCUGUGUGUGUGUGUAUGUCAGGGGUAAGGGGCAGGAGGGGACAGUGGUGUGCAUGGAAAGCCUUGGGGACACACAGAGAGAUUUGAACUUUGUCCUGUAGGUGCUGGGGAGCCACUGAAGGUUUCAAAGGAGGGUCCAGGUAUGAUCAGGAGCAGGUUUCCCUUUCCUCUCUUCCCACAGCCCCUAACCCAGUGAGGUUAUUCUCUGUAUGAGGACAGAAUGACAAUAAUGGCUUGACUUCCACAGCCAUGAUGCUCAUUACUUAAAGAAUUACAGCCACUCAUGGGCAUUGGAGUCAUCCCUGGGGAGCUGAAGGCGUCAUUGGAGUCCUCAGAGUCUCAGCAGGCAGGAUGAUGUCAUGCUUUCUGUGACUGGAGGCCUCCUUCCCCCAGGGACAGCAUUCAUUGUGUUCCUUACAAGUAAGUCUCUCCCCAGGUGGACAGUGCAUGCCCACAGGCUGAAGAAGGCCCAAGAUGGUGAGCUCUGAUUUGAGCUGAGGUCUCCCACCCACAUGCUUCCACCACCAUGGAGAAUGAAGGUGCCUUUCUCUUAUCCCAAGACCAAGGAAAGGAAUUCCUCAGGGACCACCUGGAAUACUUCCCACGUGACCUUUGGAACCCAGAGAGGCACCCACCCACCAACCAGAAGGGAGCUGCAGGCAAGAAAGGCCAGAAAUGGGGUUGGGGGCUCUUUGAAGAACCCUCCAGAGUGCUCCAAAGGAAAAAGUCAGCUCUGAACACCUGCGAGGCCCAGAGAAGAUCCGAUGCAUCAUCAUGACUGAAGCAUCCUCAGAAGACCCUUCUUCCCACACCCCACCCCAUUCUGGGAGGAUAGGAAGAAAGAAAGGCAGAGUGCUGGAGAGGAGCUGACCCCAGCCCCAAACAUCCCCAGGAUGGAGGGAGACAGAGGUGGUAACUUCUAACAAAGUUGGAAAUCUUUAUGGAACACAAUAAUUUUUUUUUAAAGUAGGUUCCAAGCCCAGCGUAGAGCCCAACGCUGGGCCCAAACUCACAACCCUCUUAUCAAGACCUGAGCUGAGAUCAAGAGUCAGAUGCUUAACCAACUGAACCACCCAGGUGCCCCGGGACACACUAAGUCUUGAAUUGAGGCUGCUCUAGGAACCGAGAAGAGUGAGAAUAAAUAAGAAAGUCUUGGAUUUUCAUCCAGGAACAUUGGUUGCCUGUCACAAGUUGUGUUUGUUCAACUGCAUUUUGAUUUUACUAUAAUAGUUCUCUGAAUACACCACUCAGGACAGCCGCUGCCUCACUCGUGCUGAUCUCUCAGCCUAGAAUGCCCUCCCCACCCUGGCCCUCCAUCCAGUUCCAUCAUCCAAACUCGAGCCCAUCACCAUCUCCUUGAGAGACCCUCUCUUGAUUCUCCCUGUUCCUGCUUUCCUUUGUAGAGAGGGAAGGGGCACACCUGUUUGAUUGCAGGAAGACAAACCCACCAAUGCCCCAGCUUUGGGGGAAGAUGCUAUUCUUUAUGGUGAUUCUUCUUGUCAUUCCCACACAGUGUUGUUGUUGUUGUUGUUUAAUCAGAUUUAUUGAGGUAUGGAUUUACCAACAAUAAAAUAAACUCAUUUUAAGUUCAGUGAGUUUUGACAAAUAUAUAAACCCACACCCAUCACUAACACAACCAAGAUAUGGAAUAUGUCUGUCACCCCAAAUUUCCCUUGUCCCCUCCCGGUAUGAUCCCCACCCCUGCCCAGCCUCAG